AUUGAACGCUGGCGGCAUGCUUUACACAUGCAAGUCGAACGGUAACAGGCCGCAAGGUGCUGACGAGUGGCGAACGGGUGAGUAAUGCAUCGGAACGUGCCCAGUCGUGGGGGAUAACUACUCGAAAGAGUAGCUAAUACCGCCUACGAUCUAUGGGUGAAAGCGGGGGACCGUAAGGCCUCGCGCGAUUGGAGCGGCCGAUGUCAGAUUAGGUAGUUGGUGGGGGAAAGGCUCACCAAGCCAACGAUCUGUAGCUGGUCUGAGAGGACGACCAGCCACACUGGGACUGAGACACGGCCCAGACUCCUACGGGAGGCAGCAGUGGGGAAUUUUGGACAAUGGGCGCAAGCCUGAUCCAGCAAUGCCGCGUGCAGGAAGAAGGCCUUCGGAUUGUAAACUGCUUUUGUACGGAACGAAACGGCUCUGGUUAAUACCCGGCGGUAAUGACGGUACCGUAAGAAUAAGCACCGGCUAACUACGUG
rnacentral:rRNA from 1 species